rnacentral:rRNA from 1 species
UACGUAGGGAGCAAGCGUUGUCCGGAAUCAUUGGGCGUAAAGCGCGCGUAGGCGGCCCGAUAAGUCCGUUGUGAAAGUCAAAGGCUCAACCUUUGAAUGCCGAUGGAUACUGUCGGGCUAGAGUCCGGAAGAGGCGAGUGGAAUUCCUGGUGUAGCGGUGGAAUGCGCAGAUAUCAGGAGGAACACCGAUAGCGAAGGCAGCUCGCUGGGACGGUACUGACGCUGAGGUGCGAAAGCGUGGGGAGCGAACAGG